rnacentral:lncRNA from 1 species
GCGUCCGCAUAUCGCCAUCCGCGCACAGCACUGCCCUUUAACUUCGUGCCCCCCCCCGUCCCCUCCCCGUCGCCAUGCCUGCUCUCCUCCCCGUGCCCUGGUGCUCUUCUCUCCACCUCUUCACUCUCCGCUCCCGCUCUCCUUUGUGCGCGCCUGACCUCGCCCCCAGCGCGCCCCCCUCCACCCCAAAACCUUUCCUCCCUCCCCUUCUCCUCCCCUCCCCUCCCCUCCCUCCCUCCCUCCACCCACCUAGCCAACAUGGUGUUGACCACCACACUGCGCCGGUCGUCCUCCGGCUUGGGCCGCUGCUUGUACAGCCGCGCAAACUCCCUGUGCCCCAGCACCUUGCCGCCGCUGGUGCCGUCCUCGCCGCUGCCGCCCACCACCAGCUCAUAGCCCGCCACGCCCGUCACGCCGCGGCCGGGCCCGCCCGACUCGCCCGCCACCACCAGCGCGUUGCCCGCCUCGUCCACCUCGCCGUCCUGUGCGGUGGGGGUUGGGGCGUUGGGGAUGGUGGUUGGGGUGUUGGGGAUGGUGGUUGUGAUGCUGGGGUUGAGGCGGUCCGCAUGGCAGGGGUGGGGGCUGUAACUAACAGCCCAAACAAUACCUGCUGCGCUGUGUGCGCGAGAGUGUUCAGUCGUGCAUGCCGUGCUGAGGCGGGGCAGGCGCCUGCUAGCCCUGGACCCUCCCCCCGCGCCGGCUUCCUAAAACACUGUGUCGGGGCCUGCUUGCCCUUGACCCUCCCGCGCCGGCUUCCUAAAACACUGCGUCCAUUCCUCUUGCACAUCCCGCCUCCACCCUCCCUCCCNNNNNNNNNNNNNNNNNNNNNNNNNNNNNNNNNNNNNNNNNNNNNNNNNNNNNNNNNNNNNNNNNNNNNNNNNNNNNNNNNNNNNNNNNNNNNNNNNNNNUCUCCGUCUCAGUCCCGGAGCAAACUUCUAUGCAAACUGCCCCCUCCUUCUCCCUCCUGCCCCCUCCUUCUCCCUCCCCCACCUCUGCGGCCAGGUCGUAGUCGUAGAAGUCCUCGUACUCCUCCUCGUUGUCGUCGUACAGCAUCUUGCAGGCGCACGUGUCCACCAUGUGCCGCUGCACCGCGUGCAGGCUGCGGAACUGCCGCGCGCUGGCGUCGUCGCCGCGGGUGCCCAGCGGCACACCGCCCACCUGCAGCUUGGCGCCCUGGGGAUAGGUGUGUGUGGGGUGGGGGUGGGGUGGGGUGGGGGUGGAGGGUUAGCCAGUCACAGUAAGUCAAGGAAGUGGUAGACGGUAGACAAUCUUGGGGGGGGGCGGAGGGGGUGGAGGAGGAUGCGGUGGGGAAGGAGGUGUUGUUGGUGUGAGCAGGCGGGUGACGGUGGCGGUGGCGGUGACGGGUGGUGACGGUGGCGGUCGGAACUUGCGGCAGGGACCGGGGCCGCAGAUGCAGGUGAGCUGGGGCUAGGGUCUCCUGGCCCUCGGCCGAGUAUGCCGCCCGCGCGGUGCCGUGCGCAGCCCGCUUGCCCGGACCCUGUCUCCAUGCCCGCCUCCCGCCACCACCCACCCCACCUCACCCGCUGCACGCCCUGCCCCCCAAGCCCCAACCCCACCCCCUGCCCGGCGCUCCAGUGCUGGACACCCGGCCCCCCACCACAGUGCCCGUCAUCCCGGUACCCCAGGCCAACCCACUCCACCACAUGCCCUCACGCCCUGCCCACCAUGCCCAACCCGCCCGCCCCCCACGCUCUCCUCCUCGCUCUAUUGCGUUGGGUUCGGUUUAGUUUGGGCUGGUAUCUACACCCCCCCCAUAAUCCCCCCCCAACACAUCCAGCUGCAGUUCUCCUUGCCGCGCGACUGUUCCCUUACGGGAUUGGUUCAACGUUAACCCCCCAAAGCACACACACGCACCAGGUACUUGACCAGCCCCUCGGGGUCCUUGAGGUACUGGCUGUCGGGCAGGUAGAAUCCAAACCGCUUGAACAUGUACUCCAGGUUGGCCUGGAAGCUGGGCGACACGUGGUUGUCAAACAGGCUGCGGCACACGUCCCACUCCGGCCACUCCUCCUCAUCGCCGCCGUCCUCGCCCUCGCCGUCCUGCAGGUGCGGGGAUGGAGUGUGUGGGUGUGGGUGUGUGGGUGCGGAUGGGUGCUAGAGAACGCAAGGAAGCAAGGGCGUGCAUGUGACGGGGCGGUCGGUGCGUUCUGUGCGGGUUGCAAACGGUGGGCAUCUGGGCGCGAGCAUGUGGUAAGGCCAGGAAGCGCUUCGGGCACGGGCGCAUCGGCGAUCAAGCCUUGCCUCCACCCCCGCCCUGCCCAGCCAUCCCCAGCCCGCCCUCCCAAACGGCGCCAGGGGCCUGCCUGCUAGAACCAGCACGCCCCAGCGCCCCAGCGCAAUACCACACGGCCCCCACUGGCCAACGCCACACGCCCGCCACUUUUCACCUACGCUAUCCAACCACCCGCCGCCCCCCUCGUCAUCAUCCCAAACUAUCUCAGGGUGAGCGACCCUCCAUUACGCCCUCCACAACCGGCCAGACCAGCUAGCCCAGCCCCCUCUACACACACAAACAUACGCACACACACGUUCACACACACGGACGUGUACGCACCUGCGCUGCCGCGCCGCCCUCCGCCGCCAGCUCCGCCGCCUCGUCGUCCGACGCCGUCUCCCACCCACUGUCCUCGUCGUCCUCUUCCUCCUCUUCCCCUUUCCGCUGCCGCCACGGCCCCUUCUUCGUCUGCUGCUGCUGCUUGCCGUGGGCGGCCGCGGCGGCCGAGCUGGAGGCUGCGCCGGCGUCCGACAUCUCGGCAUCCGCCACACCCGGCAGACCGCCGGAGGGAGCCACAACUUUGAAGCCGGCGGGCUUGGCGACCGGGGGGCCAGCGGCGGAGCCGCCGUCGGCUGUGUGAAGAAGAGCACAGCGGGGAGGGAGAGGAUGGAGGGGAGCGUUUGUGGGGUGAGCAGGGGUCGAGGGGAACCGGGUGCGAUACGUGGCGUGCGCGACCGUCCAGCGGCGGAGAAAUGGGGUGCUGGAGGGCCGCGCAACAUCCAUGGCUCUCUAACUGAACCGUCAGGCCGACAGCAGCAUAGGUUCUCGAUACCGACGCACCAGCCCCCAUACUGUACUCAUUUGCAACGACACCGGCGCACCUUCUUGCGGCUGCGGCGCUCCGUCCGGCUGGCGCGUGACGAUGACGGGCUCGGGCGCGGGCUGCCCCGACUUGCGGACCAGCUCCGCGUACUUCUUCGACCCCACGAACACCUGAUACGUGUUCUCGGUAUUGAACUUCUUCUUUGUUAGCGGGUCAACCCAUACCCGCUGCACAGGCGCGGCGGCGGUGGCGCUGGCGGCCGUGGAGGAGAGCUGGGCCUUGCGCGCCUCAAACCACUCCUUCGUGACUGGCGGGAGGCCCGCAACUUUGCGCUUGAGGUUGUAUCGGUGGAAGUCUGAGCGAUAGUGCUCUGUCAACGACUCCUUGUCGGCAAAGUAAGUGCCAGAUGUGCUGCAAUAGAAGCCCGUCUGGGCCCUGGCCGCGUCGGUAGCGGCCAUUUCUGUUGAAUGCACGUUCAGAGAGGUAAAUUGAAUGAAAAAGACAAGCUCAGGGCUCUUUAGGGUUCCCUUGCGAAAGCGUCAGUAAGAGGGGCCGAGGUAAAGUAUUUAUGUAGUACCAAGACUAACAUUAAUAUUUAACAAUCGCCGGAGCUGCUUACGUUGCGGACCGGCCCCGCGAUGGUGCGGUCACGGCCCUUCAUGCAUCCGCCUUGCUUCAUGACCGGUUUGGUGUAUUGACAUGUUCUCAUUGCAGUUAAGUUUUCAUCAGGAAAUAGGCUAUGCAUGUUCUGCUAUGCGCGAGCGUCAACUUCAAGCAGUAGCUCGAAAGCCUCGCUGACAAACGAGCCUGGCAUUGAACCCAGCAAGGCAGUGGAAUGCGCUAACAUAAAGAGCUAGACUACUUGAGUUGGCCGCGGAAUGGUUGCCAGCAGUGCCAGCUACCCAAACACGAAGCUACAGCGGCAUGGGGACACAACAAAACAGGCCGGCAUCGCGUGGACGCCUGCCUGCGGGAGCGCGUCUAACAACAACAGGCACUUUCGGCACCAUGUGUCCGCGAACGGUGGGGGAAGCGGCUUCCUGGACGGAGCGAAGGCAGUCGGCAUCUUGGAGGCUGACGAUGUUGCCGGGGUCGCAACCAGCGGCAAUUUUGCGUUGACUCUGGAGGCCAGGUGCGAGGGCCCCGCCAUUUAGAGGGGCGCAUGCAGCUAUAGGAUCGGGAAUGCCAGUAUGCACAGGCCUUGCCGCCCAGUCAAGUCCGGUGUGGCCGUGUGGAGGGGGUUGCAAGGCCAUCCGGACUCCGCGCCCCAUGCCACGCCCCGAGUCCUCAGCGCACCGCCCUCGCCCCCGCCCCCCAGACUGAGCCCCGCCGGCCCCGAGGGCUACGGCCUGUUGGUGCUGUCGUGCGCCCGUGUGGAGACUGGCGUGACGCAGCUGUUGGCGCUGCAGGCAAGCGGAGGAUGAGAGGGCGAGGAAAGACAAGGGCAACAUAGCGUGUGUGUAUGUAUGUGUGUCUGCGUGCCCAUGUUACUGUACGGCUUGGUGGCACGUAGGGUGUUGCAACACGCAGGCACGAGGUUCUGCCAUGCGGGUGGGGCUUGCGCACCGCGCACCGCGCAUCAUCCCUCACGGCCCUCACGUCGCCCGCCGCCGCCCCACCCCACCCCACCACACAUGGUCUCACCCCAGAUCGACAGCGACUGGAACAGCGCCAGCCUACUGGUCCUGCACUGCCGCACGCCACGAACCGCGGGCCUGGACCGCAGCCCCUCCGCCUCCUCAUCCAACUCCUCGACAGCACCAUCCGCAGCAGCUGCUGCAUCCAGCUCGCCCGGCGGGAAGCUUAGCACGAUGAGCACGGUGACGCCGUCGCCGUCGCUGGCGCUGACGGUGGUGGCUCGGCUGUCUUCGGCUCGGCUGGCGGCGCCACCUGGCCGCGAGCCCGAUGACUUCCACACCCUGGAGCUUCACUGCCGUCGCGGCAACACGUUGUCGCUUUGGUGCGUCGUCUGGUGCUCAGAAGGAGCGGGGGUCGCAACAGGAGGGGUGUUGUUGCUGCCGGCGUCGUGGUGCCGUGGCAAGGAAAAGGGCGAGGUUUUUAUGUGUUACAACGGCAAGUUGCUCGGCACCUGUAUCUCCAACCACUUCCACGUGCCAUGCUGCAGGAGCGACGGGCGCGUUGUGUUUGCGUCUGUGGAUGUGCGGCGCGCUCUGGGGCUGGCACAGCAACGCACCGCAGGCCCCGCCGCCGCCGGCCUCCGCGCCGCCGCCGCCUCGCCGCUCACCGGCCCUCUGGGACUGGGUGUGGGCUCGGCACGCAUGGACUUCAGGUGUUGGCGCGUGGCGAGCCUGGCGGCGUCAGGGGCGGCGGGACCCCUGGCGGCGCGAGGGAUGCACGCGGCCUUGGCGGCGGCCGAGGUGGGCGAUGCGGAGCGCGCUGGCGCGUGGGGAGGCGUGGGAGAGUGGGGCGCGACGGGCGGAGGGCGCCGUUGUGAAGAGGAGGAGGAGGAGGAGGAGAUGGCAGCUGCAGGAUGGGGGUCGGAGGACGGCGGCGGACAAGGUCAGGAGGGGUCGAGGAGGUGGAGGGACGUGGACGAGGGCGGCAGCGGCUGCGGCUACGGCCACAGCAGUGACCGGUAUGACCGCGGCGGCGGCGGCGGCGGCGGCGGCGGCGGACGGUGGGCGCGAGAGGCUGGUGGGCGAGGCCGAGGCGGCUACGGGCAUGCACACGAGGAAGGGGACGACGGUGACGAGGAAGGCCACGAGUUUAGGCCGCCCGCUGGUGAGAGCAAUCCAACUAUGAACUAUCCCCGGAGCUCGGGUGACCCAGGGAGUAGGGAGCGGGGAGCAUGCAAACGUGCGGGUGCCUGCACCCUAGCACACCUGGUGCCGUGCUAAGGCCUUGCCGUACCUGGUGAUGUGGGACUGACUGAUGACUGAUGGCGCGCCUGCCUGUUGUUGCCGGGCCCCUGCGCUGUAUGUGUGGCUGUCGGCAGCCGCCCGCAGAGCUGCCCGCGCGCUCAACGCGCCGGCGCACACUGCCCUGGCGGCGGCCGCGAGCGCCGUGACAAGCAAGUGGAGCCGCAGGUGCGUGUGUGCGUGCUUGGUGGUGGUGGUGGUGCGUGUGUGUGUGGGGGGGGGGGGUGGAGGGGGGGGGGCGUUCGCGCCGUAUAACGUCGUGAAGCGGUAUGUCAAAGGCUGUUACCUGUUCGUCAGCGCCUGGAGCAGCAGCCCCCAGUGUGCUUUCAGGCGCAUUCGCGCGCAUUCAGCAAUGGGGGGCGGGGCUCCUGGCAUGGGCACCAGGUGUUACGUGGACAUGUCACACGUGUGUUCGCACAUGUGCAGGCCGUACAUCGCGGACCUGGAUCCGCAGCUGGUGGACGCGGUGAUGAGGGAGGUGGUGCCGCCGCCGCCCAGACAAGGCAACGGCCGGCGGGGCGGCGGCGUGCGGCUGUCAGAUGUACUGGUAUGCGUGUGUGUGGGGUGGGUGGGUGGGUGGGUGGGUGGGUGGGUGGGUGGGUGAGGAGGGGCGGGGUGGGGGGGGGGGGGCCGUGAGGGGGGGCGUGAGGGGGGGCGGGGGGAGGGGGGUUGCUUGUACAGGUCAACACGUGUGGGGUAUGCGGGUUCUGGGGGAGGUGUUAGACGACCGGCAGGCUGACGUCCUGCCGUACAUCCGGGAGUAUGCUUACGGUAAUGUGACACACGUGAUGACGGAUGCGCGUGUACUUCCCCCACCCCAUCCCGCAACACCGCAGGUCCGUGACGAUGCCAAGCAGCUGCUGAGUGAGAGUGUGGUGAUGCCGCUCAUACUGCCGGAGCUGUUCGCGGGUGGGUGAGGCCGUGCGCGCUGGUGUGUGCUUCUGGGUGCUGGAUGAGUGGCUGGAGCAGGCGUCGCAAUACUCAGCGAGUCCGGCCGCCGCGGUUGCACAAAACACCCACAACGUACCUAUGUAAGAACCAGACUUCCCAAAGUGCAUGCUCGUUACAACUAACGUAGAUCCGGUGACACUUUAUCGCAAUGGCAGGCGCUCUGGAGCCGUGGCGGGGCGUGUUGCUGUUCGGGCCGCCCGGCACCGGCAAGACGCUGCUGGCCCGGGCGGUGGCGGCCACUGCUGACGUCACCUUCUUCGCGGUCGGCGCAGCCGCACUCACCAGCAAGUGGCGAGGCGACAGCGAGAAGAUGGUGCGUGCGCGCCUGCGUGGUCCGAGCUGCUUCUGCAGCAGCAUCAAGCGAGCCAGGCCCUGCCGUCCCUGCUGCAGCGUAGCCUGCGCCUGUGACUCCCCUCUUGCUGCUGUUGGUGCCGGCUUCUGCACAGGUGCGCACGCUGUUUGCGGUGGCGGAGGCGUGCGCCCCCGCGGUGGUGUUCGUGGACGAGGUGGACGCACUGGUGGGCGGCGGCGGCGGCGCAGGAGCCAUGGACGGCGGCGGUGGCGGCGGUGACGGCGACAGUGAGGCCAGCCGCCGCUUCAAGAGCGAGCUGCUGCAGCAGGUGUGGGUCCUGGGGGUUGGGGGCCCCGGAGCCGUGUUCGCAUGACAGGUCAGCGCCGCCUGGUGAUCCAGCCGAGGCCACCGAGGCCACCUUAGGAAACAAACGUCCGUGGCGCCCACAGGCCGUAACAACCUUGCGCCCCACCCUGCCGCUUCCGCACGCGCACUCGCACCCCCGUGACCAUUCCUUUGAUUCUUGGGACCUAUUGGGCUCGGGCACAUAACCCCCACGACCAUCCCCACCCCCAGAUGGACGGCCUGACCAGCCGCACCGGCUCCGGCCACCCCGGCGCCCGCUCCACCGCCGCCUCGGGCGUGCUGGUCCUGGCCGCCAGCAACAGCCCCUGGGACAUCGACCCGGCCUUGCGGCGGCGGCUGGAGAAGCGCAUCUACAUCGGGCUGCCCGAGCUGACGGCGCGGCGCGGCAUGCUGGACCUGUACCUGCCGGAGCAGGGUGCGUGGGUGUGGGGUUGUGUGUGGGGCCUGUGACGGCUGUGAGAGUGUGUUGGUGCGGGGCCGGGUGGCCAAACUUGGUGCGGCUGCGUUCGACACUCACUUGCGCCUGACAUGUCUGCAACUGCCAGCUUAUCAUCGGCCGCCGCGUCCACCCAGUCGACUGCUGUCCUCCCUGGUAUCGUGCCAUGCCACCACGCCCCCCAUCUCGCUCGUGGUCCCGUUACCCUCCCUACCCGGCUAACCCCCCCCCCCGGGCUACCGUCUACCACUUCCUUGCUUAAUCAUGAAUGUACCCCCCCACCCAGGCUGCCGGCUAUCUCCGGACGUGGACCUGGACCAUCUGGCGGCCCGGCUGCAGGGGUACAGCGGCGCCGACAUAAAGCUGCUGUGCAGGUGGGGCGGGGCCGUGUGCAGGUGGGGCGGGGCCAUGUGCAGGUGCGGCGGGGCCAUGUGCAGGUGGGGCGGGGUCAUGUGCAGGUGGGGCGGGGCCAUGUGCAAGUGGGGCGGGGCCAUGUGCAGGUGGGGCGGGGUCAUGUGCAGGUGGGGCGGGGCCAUGUGCAAGUGGGGCGGGGCCAUGUGCAGGUGGGGCGGGGCCAUGUGCAGGUAGGGCGGGGCCAUGUGCAGGUGGGGCGGGGCCGUGUGCAGGUGGGGCGGGGCCGUGUGCAGGUGGGGCGGGGCCAUGUGCAGGUGGGGCGGGGCCGUGUGCAGGUGGGGCGGGGCCGUGUGCAGGUGGGGCGGGGCCGUGUGCAGGUGGGGCGGGGCCGUGUGCAGGUGGGGCGGGGCCGUGUGCAGGGGAGCGGGCAGCUGGAUGGUGGGGGUCCUGGGGGAGCGGGGGUGGGUAUUCUUGUGUGUGUGUAGGGGGGGACACCGGGGAGCACGCGGUACUGUGGGUUGCGGGAAGCGGAAACACGGGAAAGCGAAUGAGAGGGAGCUGGGUUGGGGGCGGCCGGGGAACGACGGCGGGAUUGGGUGUCACGGCCUCAGGGGACAACCGCAAAGGCCCCACCCAACCUUUCACAGCUGUGCGCGGGAGCAAGAAUCCCGCUUGCCCGUGGCGGCUCUAGUUUUGACCGCUUCUGCCACACACAUCACGUCACAUUCACCUUCACGCGCAGGGAUGCGCUGAUGGCUCCGCUCCGGCGGCUCACGGGCGGACACACGCCCGCGCACUACCGGCGGCUGCGCAAGGCACUGGGGCUCGAGGGCGGCGGAGGCGGAGGCGGGCGAGGGGGCGGAGGCGGGGGCGCGGAAACAGGGGAACGUGGCGGUGGCGGUGGUGUUGGGCCGCUGCUUGAGGUGACACGGGCGGAUGUCGAGGGCGCGCUGAAGCGAAUCCGGCCCUCCGUGGGUCGGGAGCAGGUGGCUAGGUACGAGGAGUGGGACCGGCUCUUUGCUGCGGCGUGAGGACUCUUUAUAUUAUAAAGAUAUGCGAGCGACGGAGGAGGAGGUGCAGGAGGAGGUGGUUGUGAAUCCGAGAAAGUGCAUGGGAGCGCGCUCCAGGCCUCUGUCAAAACCCCUUCAUGUCCAGCUGCGUUCAAUAAUGUACACACAUUGACCUGCAUUGCUAUUUAAGUCUAGUAGAAUUGCGCAGCUGCUGAACAGCAGCUUGUGGCCCUGAGCAUUUUCGGGCGUCUCAGACUUCAGUCAAAGAGCUAUGGGCACCAUAGUGAACUGUGGACUCAGUUGCAGCAGCAGGGCGUCGCAGUGCUGGAGCUGGACAGCGAUGAGCCGUUCUCGGCUUCCGCGAGCGCGCUGGAGACCUGCGCCGACUUCCUUGGGGCAAGUGAAUCUGUAAAUCACAGUGCCCAGGGCCGCUGCUGGCGAGUCUGUGAAGCAAGGCGCCCAGAGCGCUGUGCUGGGCGAGGGCUACACAGUCCAGGAGCUGCUCGAGGCUGCUCGCAGUCCGGCCCAUGGGUCCGGCCCGGCGCCCUGACGUGGGGCUCCGGCCGCUCUCGCACGCAGCACGCCGCGUUGCAGAAGGUGAGCUUGCGGCCCCUUCGCCUGCCAGUGGCACGCAUCUGAAGACCACUACGCUAGGACUAGUCGCUGAAGCUCUGGGCUCUGGACGUGCCCCCUCAUCCCUCGUUGUCCCUGCCUGCAUGCAGGCCUCCUCCCGCGCCGACCGGCUGUGUCGCGGCCUGCUGUGCGCGCUGUGUCGCAGCCCCGGCCUGGACGUCCACUCGGGCCGUGUGCUGGGCCUGCUGGAUGACGCGCCGCUGCUGGGCCAGGCCAGCGCCAGCCUGCUGCGCUGCGCCCGCUACAGCCCCGACCCGCACGCCGCACAGCUGCUGGCCUUCGCGCCGCACCACGACCGCGGCGUGCUCACGCUGGUGGCCAGCGCGCAGGAGCAGGGGCUGCAGGUGCGGCUGCCACAGCAGGGACAGGGGGCGGGCGCUGCGGCUGGUGCGUGGGUGGACGUGCCGCUGGGCCCUGGCCGCGUGGCAGUGCUGUGCGGCUACAGCCUGUCGUACGCCCUUGGCGGGCUGCUACAGCCGGCGCUGCACCGCGUGCGGCCUGUGGCUGUAGCUGGCGGUGGCGGUGCGGCUGGCGGAUCAGCUGCUACUGCCGGCAGCGGCCGUGUGAGCCUGGCGUAUGAGCUGUGCGUCCGGCCCAACGCGUUUGUGGACCCAGCCGCCGUCACCCAGGGGGCGGCGGAGCAGCUGCCGGCGGCGGCGGCAGCGGCGGCUGGAGAGGGCGGCGCCGCAAGCAGGUGGGCGCCUGUGUACGCGUCAUGUGCAGCCGCAGCGGAAAGCUGAGUAGCUUACACUGUGCUUACAGUUGCGUUGUUGCUGUGUACUGUACUGUACUGUAGUGUAUCAAGCCUGACGUCUGGCUCCCGUCCCCUCUGCAGGCUUGCGCUGCUGACGUCCGCGCUGAUGGAGCGCUUUGAGGCCACUCACCCGGUGUCCAUCAACGGCGGCGUCCUUGUGAAGCAGGAGCCAGCAACAGUGAGUGAAGGCGAGUAAUGGGCAGGGUGGAAAGUCAAAUGCACAGAGCAAGAGGCCAUCAGCCGGGGCUUUGCUGGCACCAGACGAGCCGACCUUCCCACGCUGCUGCGCAAACUAGGCGUCCGCUCCACGGCUGCCUCCGCCUGCAGCAGUACAAUCCACAACCAUGCUGUCUCCAUUCUCAAUGACAUUGUCGGGCCAAACGAGGGCAGCCACUUAACACGGGGGCCGCUGGGUGACUUGGCGGCCGCCUAGAGCCCCACCAUGCAUGUUCUCGGUAGCAGCAGAAGGCGGGUGAUGGGGACUAAAUCCCCCUCACCCCGUCGGCUCCCUUGAUCCACGCCCUGACUUCCAGGGGGCAUGAUGUGUUUAUUUAUUUACUUUGAUACGCCGGCCGUUGAAUGCAUGUAUCCAGCUGCUGGCACGCAAACUAACCCUCAGGCAGGUCCCUGCUACCCCUGCUUUUGGCCCGCCUGGCGUACGUGUGUCCCAACCCUCUUGCCGCGCCUGAUGUUCAGUUUCUCGGAUCCUUGCAGCGCGACUGUCUCCUUACGGAAUUGGUUCAUAGUUACCCCCCCACACACCCCCCCCCCCCCCCCCCCCCACACACACACACACACAACACACACAUACACGCACACACACACACACACACACACACACACACACACACACACACACACACACACACACAACACACAACACACACAUACACUGUCUUUGCGCAACGUUUUCCUUGUGCUCUUUAACAACACACAACACACACAACACACACACAACACACAAACACACAACACAACACACACACACACACACACACACACACACGCGCGCGCGUGGGCACUAACAUGAGCCACUGAAGCAGUGGCAUACAUACGAGAGGGUCAGCGGGGGAGCUUAGUGGGCAGGCGAAGGGUUUUCUUUGUUCUACGCCUGUGGGAACAGGGCCAGGUUUGCGGGGUUUUUUGCUUGUGAGGUUGUUUUGAGUGCUGCAGCACCCCGGGCCUUACGACCUGGACCGGCCUAGUGGCCAGACGCGUUUGUGGCUGCCCUUAGGCAUAGUCUGCCCUGGCGUCGAGAGCUGGUUAGGUUGCGGUUGAGGUCGUGCAGGCUGCGGGGUCGCAGGACUCAGCCCCACAGCCACUGUGGUCGUGUUAUCGCGUGCUGUCGCGUGUUGCGUGCUGCGUGUUUUGUUGUGUUUGCUAUUUUUAGUUCUCUGCCCGCCUGGUCUUAGUAGAUGUAGCUCGCCCGCUUGUUACACCGGUAGUAAUUCCGCAAGGGUUACUGGCGCGGUGAAGGGUCGGAGUGAGUUACCCUGUGGACUCUAGAGCUGUUUGCGCUCUGCCGGGGAAACGCCAGGUCACGGCAGCCCUCGUUUGGGAGCCCUGUCAUUGGUUAUACCAGAUACACGAUUCACGUGAUCUGGCAGAAUAACCGUGGAAACCGUAGUCACACCACACACACACACACACACACACACACACACACACACACACACACACACACACACACACACGCACACACAGUGAAUCAAGAUGGACUCCUGUAUACAAGUCGCUGGCCUCCAUCAGGAUGACCGUUGCGGUAGGUGGAGAAGAAGGUGCACCUUCUUCCCCACCUAUCUACCGCGGCUCAUUUGCGGCACCGAUUGAUUGGUGGGGCACACGCUGCUGCCAGGCACGCACUCAAGGUGCCAGAGGUCCGGCUGGAGGCCUGCAAGUCGCUGGCCUCCAACCUACCGCAACGUACGGUGGACAUCCUGACAGACGGUUCCGGUAGGUCGGAUGCCAGCGAAUGGCAAGCCUGCAGCCUGACCUCCGGCACCUUCAGGCUGUCCUCAAUGUCUCGCAGCAGCGCGUGCCCCACCAACCGGUGCAGCAAUCAAAUGGGCACGAGGCGCGCGGUCCAGCCAUGUGAUAGGCGAACAUCGGCGGAGGAGGAGUGGUCGGUCAAUUUUGCACGCGCCCUGUCGGCGCAGGUGGAGGCAGCGGACCUGCUACACUGGCUGGUCGGGCAUGCGCUGCUGCCUGACAUUCAACCCGCGCCAGCCGCUGCUAACACAACUGCACCACCCUCGACCACCCUCGAGGCAUACACACGCAUCAAUAUGCCCUAACCCGUCACCUCCGCCACACUGAGGCUAGACCAUCACUAAAACAACGGGAAACCGCGUCUGGCGCGUCUGGACCGCGUCUGGCCAGUGAGAUGCGGUGCCAGACGCGCCGUAACGCUGCGCGUUAAGGGGGAAACGCGGGGGAGUGAGACGCGAUGGGGACGCGGCCAGAAACAGUGAAGCGGGGCACCAUUGCAGGUAGAUAGCGCGUUUCACUGCGUCUAUGAGACGCGAUGUAACACGAGUCGCAAAGCGGUACAAUUGCACGGCUGAAACCAAAGAGCGCGUCAUAGCUAACACGUACGAUGCGUCACGCCAGACGCGAGCCUGAUACCCUUGACGCGCCGCGUCUCACACACACGCGAUGGACGAGACACAAUGCGUCUUGAGGCACGGUUCGAAAGGGGGUACCGUACGUUCCACGGAAAAACACAUGAACCUUUGCAUUCCAGAGCACGUUACACUGCCUCUAGCCCACAUCUGCGGCAGACCCUGGCUGCACACAUGUUUCAGGAUUACCUAAUCCGACCAUGUCACUCGCUUUCCACGCAACUACGAUCUGCAAGUAAGUGCAUCACAGUCCAAGGCGCUCUGUCGCCCAUCACAGUCUCAGGCACUGUCAUGCAUAUGCAGCACAGCAGUCCUCAAAUGCCACUCGCUCAUGCUAAAGUGGUGGUCUACUUAGGGUCCAAACAUCCUAACGCUAGAUAGGUGGUCAACACAGGGUCCAAACAUCCUGACGCUCGGUAGCUAAGUCCAGAAGCCUCGUCCGAACAUUGUACAAUCCAUGUAGCGCCAGCCUUGGCAGUCUGCUUGCCCCUGGCGGCCUUGCCCCUGGCGGCCUUGCCAGCCUUCACGGCCGCAGCCUUGGCAGUCUUGGCCUCAGCGGCAGUCUUACUUGGCAUUGGUCUUGGCCUUGGCAGCCGGGGCUACCGCCUCAUCGACCUUGUGCUUCUGCAUGAGGCGGGGGCGUAGGCGCAACAAUGAUUCACCCAUCAUGAUUGGUGAAAGCAAUCACGCAAGAGCACACUGGCGUAGACCAAGAACCACAUACACUUAUUUGCAGGGUCUAGCUGAACCCCACCCGAGAGCACCAGUGCUGCCACGCACGCACAGCCUGAAUCAGGCAGGUUCUUCAAGCUAGUGCAGCAAGUGCGCUGCCUCAACUUGCGCCCACAGCGCGCGCGCAAACUUGCGCGACCACUCCGCCGCCGCCGCCUGCUGGCCUAAACAUGACAUGCAGCUGGACCGCGCGCCUAGUGGACGGACGAAGUCAUUGCCAACGAUGCUGCUGUGAAGAAGAGCAAGCUGUGAAGUCAUUGCUUGCCUUCUCCACGUUGGCAAGCAAUGACUUCGUCCACUAGGCGCGCGGUGUAUGUGUAUGGCCCGCAAUCAAUACUUCUUAUGUCCAGAGCCUUCAGAAUUAUGGUCUCAUUUUUCUUUCCAUUUUUUAGAGAUCCAUACUAUCCAGUACAGAUAAUUACGCGCAGCAGUAUGGUAGGCGAGAUAUGUCGAAUCCCAGGGUUGCGUGCACGGCUGCGUGCGUGUGUUUAAGGCAUGCACAGGUUGCUCAUGGCCCGGAGGCGCUCGGGUGACCAAGGGAGUAGGGAGCGGGGAGCAUGCAAACGUGCGGGUGCCUGCACCCUAGCACGCCUGGUGCCGUGCUAAGGCCUUGCCGUGCCUGGUGAUGUGGGACUGACUGAUGGCGCGCCUGCCUGUUGUUGCCGGGCCCCUGCGCUGUAUGUGUGGAUGUCGGCAGCCGCCCGCAGAGCUGCCCCCGCGCUCAACGCGCCGGCGCACACGGCUCUGGCGGCGGCCGCCAGCGCCGUCACAAGCAAGUGGAGCCGCAGGUGUGUGUGUGGGUGGGUGGGUGUGGUGGUGGUGGUGGUGGGUGUGGGUGGGUGGGUGGGUGGGUGGGUGUGCGUGGACUGUGUGUGCGGGUGUGGGGGUGUGGGUGUGGGGUUGUGGGUGGGGGGUUGUGUAUGGGUGUGUGUGGGUGUGGGUGUGUGUGGUGUGUGUGUGUGUGUGUGUGUGUGUGGGUGUGUGUGGGUGUGUGUGUGGGUGUGGGUGUGUGGGUGUGUGUGUGGGUGGGUGUGUGGGUGUGUGGGUGGGUGGGUGUGGGUGUGGGUGUGGGUGGGUGGGUGUGGGUGUGUNNNNNNNNNNNNNNNNNNNNNNNNNNNNNNNNNNNNNNNNNNNNNNNNNNNNNNNNNNNNNNNNNNNNNNNNNNNNNNNNNNNNNNNNNNNNNNNNNNNNGUGGGUGGGUGGGUGUGGGUGUGUGGGGUGGGGGGUGGGGGGUGGGUGUGGGUUUGGGUGUGGGUGGGUGGGUGUGGGUGUGGGUGGGUGUGGGUGGGUGGGUGGGUGGGUGGGGGUGGGGUGAGGUGGGGGGUGGGGUGAGGUGGGGGGGAGGGGAGCGUUCGCGCCGUAUAGCGUCGAGGAGUGGUAUGUCAAUUUACCUGUUCCUCAGCCCUGGAGCAGCAGUCCCCAGUGUGCACACACGCGCACACGCGCACACGCACGCACACGCGCACACACGCGCACGCGCACACCCACACCCACACCCACACCCGCACACACCCCCGCACCCCCCCCCCACACACACACACGUGCAGGUGGCAGCAUGGGCCCGGGCGGCGGUGGACGCACUGAAAGCGGCACCCUCACAGGCGGUGGUGCCCGGACCUACUGGUGAGUCGUGCGUGGCGGUCCUGGCGCGGAUGCAGCCAAUGCCUGGUGCAGCACCUGUCAUGUGAGCUCCUGUGCUUCAACAACCCCCGCUGGGCUGCCUUCUUUAGAAGCAAGCACAAUAGUGCCUCGCUCGGGCAGAGGUGGGGCAAUUGUUGGGCACUGGUUGCUUGCGUCAGAUGCGGGCAUGGGAUGCAUGUGCCUGCUGCCCAGACAAGGCCACACAGGUAGGUGCCCCCACCCACGGAAAUGCCCAUGCCAGCGCCCCCAUCCCGAUCCGUACCCAUGCCCCCUUUUUUGACAUGGAUAUGACAGGAAGGGGGGCGAACCAAACAAAGCAAGUAAGCAGCAAAACUGGACCAACCUCGCAACAGCACCUGAUUGCCGCAUCGCCUUAACCGGCACAUCUAGAUCGGGCUUCGUGCUGAGCUGCCCCCCCCCCCCUUACUGCUGGCUUAGAAGUCCUUAUUUAGCUAGACUGCAGCCAAGCGCAGCAGUUCCCGCUGUCUACUUCAGAAAGCUUGAGAGGUUGCAGCGAGCUCACCCCCACUUAGGUGACAAGAUUGUUCGGUCCGCCGAGCUGCUGGCUGCGGCGAAAUCGCGCGGCGGCCGGUGGACCGCAGCAGAGGCUGCUGAGGGCGAGGCAUACUCCCGCGCCUUUGUGGCGUUUGGGCGCGGCGUCAUGGGCGCCUUCCGCCACCUUGAUGGUGCCGCGGAUGUCGCGCAUGUGGGCGUGCGGCUACUCGGCGCGCUCUUUGCCGACUUGCUGCGCGAUUCCAGUGCAAUCACCGCCGUGCCCGUCCUCCGCGCACCUACCUCCGCGGCGGGCAUGGCUGCGGUCGCCACGCGAUUGCGCAGCAAGUCGGCAAAGAGCGCGCCGAGUAGCCGCACGCCCACAUGCGCGACAUCCGCGGCACCAUCAAGGUGGCGGAAGGCGCCCAUGAGGCCGCGCCCAAACGCCACAAAGGCGCGGGAGUAUGCCUCGCCCUCCGCAGCCUCUGCUGCGGUCCACCGGCCGCCGCACGAUUUCGCCGCAGCCAGCAGCUCGGCGGCCAGAACAACCUUGUCACCUAAGUGGAGGUGAGCUUGCUGGAAUCUCUCAAGCUUCCUGACAUAGACGGCGGGAACUGCGCUUGGCUGCUGCUACUGCAUUAUUCUGGGUCGAUGUAAGAAAGUGUAAUAAGUUUUCUAGGGAAGGAUUGGAAGCAAUGAUGGGCGGGUGCCGAGGCCUGUGGGAGACAAGGCUGGAAGCAAAGGCACGAGGCACAGCUAGCUGGGAUGGGGGUGGGGUGGGGAUGGGGAUUGGGUAGGGUGUGGCCGCCGGCGGUGCUGCUACGGCUGCCGCCACACCUGCGCCGGGCUGCACACAGGUAGCGACGCAUGGUCUGAGGCCUCAGGGGUGCCGAGGCCUGUGCGAGACAAGGCUGGAAGCAAAGGCACGAGGCACAGCUAGCUGGGAUGGGGGUGGAGUCGGGGCGUGGGGGUGGGGUGGAGGUUUAGUGGUACCUUCCGGCCAGAUUUGGACCCGGCACCUGUCCAUACGCAUACAAUACCUUACCACACAUGAAUAUAUAAUGUAUCAGAUCCAAAACAUUAUUUUGUCAGCUAGCUGUGAAGGUGUUUCCCCCGGGGGGUACGCCCCUUCCCUCCAGCUAGCUGGCAGGGAUUUUCCCCUGUUUCCUUGCUGGCCCACCCAAGGACUUACACCGCCACCGUACCGUAUCCGGCCUACUGCAGCCACAGGAAGUGCGUAGCGCCAGAGCGUCCACGUCUGCGGCGUGCAUGUGUGUCUAUGGCGGUGCAGUGGGGAGGGGCGGGGGGAGGCGUGGAGGGGUGCGCAGGGCUGCUGGCUUUGGGGAUGGGUGGGUGGGUGGGCGGGCGAGCAUGUUGGGCGCGAGAACGUGUCGGACGGAGAGCACUGGGGAGCUGCCUCUACUUACUUCCCGUGGCAUCGCCUUCCAUGGACUGCCACACGCCUGAUUCACUCACGAAGCGCAGACGUACAACUCAACAUGCGCGCCCUUGCUGUUUGCCUUGUUGGUGCAGGCGGCUAUGGCGGACGGAACAUUGGCCAUCACAGCCGGCUCGCUGCAAUUUAUGGCGCUUGAAACCCGCAGCCACAUUUGUCGCAUUCUGCCUGACUACCCUUUGACCAUCAACCAAGACCUGGCCAACCUGGGCUUCCUGCUGGCGUACUGCGGCGGCUUGUGCACUGCGACAGGCGGCAUGAGCGCAUUCCGGCACGAGGGCGCCAGCCUCCCCGAGACCUGGGACGCCAGCUUCUCAGACCUGGUGCUGCAGCUCACACGGCGCAACCCCAGGGAGCGCAUCUCAGCGCAGGCGGCGUUGGAGCACCCGUUCAUUAUGGCUGGGCGGAAGAACAACCAGAAGCAGCUAGCAGCACGGUGGAAAACGAAGGGCAUGUGCAGUGCCUGAGGAGGCAGCACUUUGCAUGCAUAGUAGGUUAGUUAAGUGAGAGGCUUUGCAGCGAGUGGGUGGGAGGUAUUUGAGCUCGGGGUCAUUUGCCCGGGUGCUUGGUUACGUGGUCAACAAACGCAAUGGCGGUGUACACUACGAGAUGCAGGGAGAAUGCAAGUCCAAUGGCACUGGUGCGUGGGCCUGGCUGGUGCUGCACUGCUGAAGCGUCGACAUGUUCACACAAGCAUGGACAAAUUAAUGAAGGCUGCAGAGAUAAGAAUGUGGGUGAUUCAGUAUUACAGGCGGUCACUUACCGGGAGAACGCAUGACCACUACGUUUAUACCGUACAUAUGCCUCCGUAUGCAAUGCGGUUGUUUGGAGAAAGGUAUCGAAUGCAUGUGUGUGUGUCAGUGUGUGUUGUGGUUCAGGCAAGUCAGAGGCUACGAUAAUGUGCUCAAGACGUGCUGGUGCGAGUUCAUGUGCGUGGUUGCACUGAGGAAAGCGGCAUUAAGCCAGCACUGUCAACAAACAUGCCCUGAUACCGGUACGGUACGAACCACGCAGUAGCUCAACAGUCAACACGAAGCUUGCAUGCACUGCUAUUGUAAAUAAAAUCUUGCUGGCAUGUACACUAGCGAGUGCGGCACCCUGACGUUGUGAUACCUCCGAAGCCAUGUCGAAGGCCCAUCCAAUUUCCCUACUGCCGUUCAUGCUUCGGAGGCGUUGAUAAACGCCGGAGCGCACCCAAACCUGACACAGCUUUAUUACAAGUCGCUUGUACAGUCAAACGCAAUAAGCGUAAUAAGCGCAGGGGUACCCUUGUCCGGGAUGCUUCUUGCAUAUGCAAGCACUGCAGCCCUGCCAUCGCCGCCGACAACGCCUCAUGUGGUGCAGCCGCUCCUCCUCCUGCAAUUGCAACUGCGUGCGUGGCGCCCGGAAUCCGCAGACAGCAGGCGUGUGCGCUCCUACGCCGCUAGGGGGACUGCAGGAGCGCCACGGGCGGGACGCAGUCCUUCCUUCCCUGCAGACGUCCAUGGCAUGUGCGCGCAGGCCGCAGGGGUUCGGGGUGUCCAACUCGGCGGUUAGCUGUCAGUUACUCGGUUGGCCCCGCAAUUCCUACCCGAGCCCCCUGGAAGUGGGGUUUCCGCGGCGACCAAGCCUGAGACCUAUAGCUAUGAUACGUGUUCACUUAUCUGACGAGGCGUACCGUAAAGGCCCAGGCUCUCAAACUUGCACUUUCAUAAGCGGCCAUGCCGCCCAAAGCCGCACGCCGUAGCCCCCGCGCACGCCCGCCCCAUGACCCCCCAACAUGAUAACAAUCAGAUUGGGUCGGCGUGCGCGCCUGAGGCUUUGGGCCAACAUCGAGCAACUGAGAAUGCGCGACACUCUGACCACGGCGUUAGGGCUACCGCACUGUUUUAUAUGGCUUUAUGUAUGGCAUCGUGGGUAUUGGCUUGGCGCGCUAGGAGCUCAGCCGGCCCACUUCCAGGGGGGUUUUGGGUUGAAGUUUUGGGGGCAACUGACAGCUGACUGCGUUGGACACCCCGAACCCCUGUGUGCGCGACACCAAGCCGCGCCGGCCGCACAACUGAUCCCGGGCAGGACCAGGCAUGCCCCUUGUUUGUGGUUUGAACGAACACGCAGACACGCCGAAAAGGCCUUACUCAGGAAAAGAAAGUUGGCAAGGUGGUUGCCCGCACCCCAAUUACUCUUACGCUCAUGCAAAGUGCGAGCCCUGUGUCAACCUCGUUUACUGUAUUAUGGAGAGAGGGUCGCUUUCUAGACAACCCUGCAGGUUCACCCCAGGGCUCCUAUCUUAAUGUCUCCAGACAUUAACUGGCCAUUUUGGCCGUUUCCUAGACAUUCCUCCCGGGGGCUAAUGUCUGGGGUGAGACUUCGUUGGGCCGGGUUUGGGGCGGGUUUUGUCCGUAUUCCUAUGGAGAAGCCCCCAAACCGCCAUGUGCCCAGACAAAGGACGGCGGCCACCCGACCGUUUUUGUCUGGAGCUAGACAUUACCCCACAAACAAGAUACGACCCCUGGUUCACCCAGAACCUCAGUCGCGGCGGCAUUCCUCAUUCCAUCCCAUGGCGCUUCCUCACACUCCGCCGGUUGUGUUUUGUCUCACACUCGUAUGUGACUUUUAAUUGCCCACCACUCAACUCCCCCGCUCAACCCCCUACCUCUCCUACGUUCGGCGUUGUACCAGCUGCACGCUUGUGCCUUGAAGUUGAAAAGUGAAUGUUGGGACUGGGAAUACGCUGCACACUACAAGACUACGUCAACACGCCCCUUGUCCUGUCCCAUCGUACCCUUGCGUGUGUAUGGGGCCGGCGGUGCAAACUUGAAGCAGCCCUCCCACCAGUACAUCAGCGUUAGUAACAAGCGGGAACGAUAGAUGGCGCCGCAGGCCCACAAGCAAACAGGCUGCAGGCCCCAACUUGGAGGACGAAGCAACCACCCCGGGGGUGUGUUCGUAGGUUUCCCGCACGCCGAUCGCUCUUGCACGCAUCGCUCGUGCAAAAUGCGAACCCUGUGUCCUGAGGUGUUGAACAAGAAAAGGUGGCUAUCCCUUGCAAGGGAAAAGUGGGCUGUGCCGCCACGCCACGUCCUCCGUCUGAGGCCGAAGGUUCCGAUACUAGCCUCAUCUCCCGGACAUAGCCGGGGUCGGUUUGUACAGGCACCGCCCGCCAUAUGUGCCCAGUCGCGCCCAGCUAUCAAGCACUAGUGCAGCAGGCAGGCAGGCCAACCAGACAGCAAGGAAAACACCCCUGCCGCUGCAGCUGACUGCCCGCUACGCCAUCCUCGUCAGCACAGGUCGCUAACCAGACAACACCGGCAGGUCUCAACCUGCGCGCCGGCGCCGCUUUGAAGGCGGCGCCGCGCUGUCCUCCUCCACGUGGCCUUGCCCGCCCCCUCUGCUCCGAACAUGCGCGCCGCCACUGCCGCUGGGCCCAGGGCCGCCCGUGCCGCCGCCACCACCGGGCCCAACGCCGUGGCCGCUGCUGUUGCCGCCGGUAGGCGCGGUGCCACCGCCGCCGCCACCGCCGUCUCCAGGCCCUGCACCGCCGCCACCGCCACCGCCACCGCCACCGCCGCCGCCAGGCCCUGCACCGCCACCGCCGCCAGCAGGUCGCAGGGCUGCAGGCCGCGGUUUGCCAAGCAGCAUCUCCAUCAGCGCGUGCCGCAUGUUUGUAGCCGAGUUGGCAUCGCGGCCCUGCAGUUCAACAUGCAAACAGGGCGUGUGUCAUCCCAUGUGUCAUCCCGUGUGUCACCCCGUAUCAUCUCCAAACCGCCCUGUGUCAUCCCGUGUCAUCCCGUGUCAUCAUCUCCAAACCGACCUGCCGCCCCAAACCUGCCCCAAACCUGCCAUCCCACUUACCCACACAGUCCCGCAGUGUUGGCACACUUGGACGUCGCGGGCACGCGAGCCACCAAACGGAAUCACAACUUCCAGGCAGCGCUGCCCGUUACCAAGCAGGCGCCGUCCGCACUUCGCACACACCUGCUCAGACACAGAGAUAGGUUUGGGCCAGGUAAGGUACGUGUGCAUUGAGCGUUGUGCGCAUUGCGUUGUGAAGAUCACAGCGUACCUGGCUGGUGUAGUAUUCGUCCACGUAGACCACCAGGUGGGCGUACUUGUCCACCAGCAGACGCAGCAGCGCCCGGUUUGGGCCCCUGCCUGACCUGAAUUGCGAAGUAAGUGAGUGAGUGGGUGAAGGUGCUAGUCUUCUGAAAUUAUCCAUGGACGUGCGUGAGGUGUUGAAAAACACCGGAUAAUCCUUGCAUUGCCCAGCACUGCUGCCCACACGAGACCCCCGAGGCAGGUGCUUGCUUAUUGGGACACCCGUUACUUUGCUUGGCAGGUGCCCGCCACGCCUUCCGGCUGGUCCCGACUCGCCUUCCUCACCCCCGGCUGCCCGAUCACAGUAGUCGCAGCCAUGCGUCCAGCUGGAGCUCCACGGGGUUAGUUACGGGCAACACCUCGCGCGCGUCACUGCCGCCAACACAACGUGAGGUGCACGCAGCCGCGCGUGCGCACGCAACUCACACUGAUGCGCGUCCACCGCCGCAGGCCGCUGCUUGGCACGCCCUGCGCCGACCCCGCUGCUGGCCCUGCAGGGAGCGGCAGCGGCAGCGGCCUCAGUGGGGCUCCGCACCGCAUGCUGGCCUGCAGACCUCGGCCGCUGCGGUGCUGCCUACCAGUAGCCCCAGCGGCAGUUCUUGCAGCACCAGCCACAGGAGCUGAGCUGCAUGAAGGCUCCAGCAGCACCGCACCGAGCCAGGCUGCUGCUGCUAGCUGCCGCAACUCCUCCAGCCACGCCAACUCUGCAGCCACCUCCCUUAACACGGCCGUUCAGGCCUGCACUGCGCCACAUUGCGCCUAGUAGCCGUGCCGCCCGCCCAACUGCGCCACCAGCGCCACCCGCACCAGGACCCGCGCCGCCAGGCAGUGCAGGAUCCAGCACGUUGCGGCGGCA